rnacentral:rRNA from 1 species
CGUACACUCCUACGGGAGGCAGCAGUGGGGAAUAUUGGACAAUGGGCGCAAGCCUGAUCCAGCCAUGCCGCGUGAGUGAUGAAGGCCCUAGGGUUGUAAAGCUCUUUCACCGGAGAAGAUAAUGACGGUAUCCGGAGAAGAAGCCCCGGCUAACUUCGUGCCAGCAGCCGCGGUAAUACGAAGGGGGCUAGCGUUGUUCGGAAUUACUGGGCGUAAAGCGCACGUAGGCGGAUCGAUCAGUCAGGGGUGAAAUCCCAGGGCUCAACCCUGGAACUGCCUUUGAUACUGUCUAUCUGGAGUAUGGAAGAGGUGAGUGGAAUUCCGAGUGUAGAGGUGAAAUUCGUAGAUAUUCGGAGGAACACCAGUGGCGAAGGCGGCUCACUGGUCCAUUACUGACGCUGAGGUGCGAAAGCGUGGGGAGCAAACAGGAUUAGAAACCCGUGUAGUCCC